rnacentral:rRNA from 1 species
UUGGAGGGCAAGUCUGGUGCCAGCAGCCGCGGUAAUUCCAGCUCCAAUAGCGUAUAUUAAAGUUGUUGCAGUUAAAAAGCUCGUAGUUGAAUUUCGGGGUUAGUAGGUUGGUCAUGCCUCUGGUAUGUACUGGUCUCACUGAUUCCUCCUUCCUGAUGAACCGUAAUGCCAUUAAUUUGGUGUUGCGGGGAAUUUGGACUGUUACUCUGAAAAAAUUAGAGUGUUUAAAGCAAGCUAACGCUUGAAUACAUUAGCAUGGAAUAAUGAAAUAGGACGUUCGAUCCUAUUUUGUUGGUUUCUAGGAUCGACGUAAUGAUUAAUAGGGAUAGUUGGGGGCAUUAGUAUUCAAUUGUCAGAGGUGAAAUUCUUGGAUUUAUUGAAGACUAACUACUGCGAAAGCAUUUGCCAAGGAUGUUUUCAUUAAUCAAGAACGAAAGUUAGGGGAUCGAAGACGAUCAGAUACCGUCGUAGUCUUAACCAUAAACUAUGCCGACUAGGGAUCGGAUGAUGUUAAUUUUUUAAUGACUCAUUCGGCGCCUUACGGGAAAC